rnacentral:rRNA from 1 species
AUGAAUAUCCUAGACCUUGGCCUAUUUUCCUCACUACAGUCCAUGUCAGAUAGAUUGGUCUCUAACAAUUUAGAUCAGCUAAUCAGCAAUGUGCAGUAGGAAUAUGAUGCCUAUGAUGCCGAUAAGAUAAACAUGAUUUUUCUUACACUACAAAGCUGCUUAAUUAAGGUCAUGAAGAGAGGUGGAGGCAACGACUACAAGACCCCUCACAUGUACAAGGAUGGCCUAGAACGUGCAGGAAAUCUUCCUAAUGUUUUAGAUUGUGAUCGCGAACUCUAUGAGAACAUCUUGUAGAUCUUAGCCGACUAG